UACGAAGGGGGCUAGCGUUGCUCGGAAUCACUGGGCGUAAAGGGUGCGUAGGCGGGUCUUUAAGUCAGGGGUGAAAUCUGGAGCUCAACUCCAGAACUGCCUUUGAUACUGAGGAUCUUGAGUUCGGGAGAGGUGAGUGGAACUGCGAGUGUAGAGGUGAAAUUCGUAGAUAUUCGCAAGAACACCAGUGGCGAAGGCGGCUCACUGGCCCGAUACUGACGCUGAGGCACGAAAGCGUGGGGAGCAAACAGGG
rnacentral:rRNA from 1 species